rnacentral:rRNA from 1 species
CCUACGAGAGGCUGCAGUGGGGAAUAUUGCGCAAUGGGGGCAACCCUGACGCAGCAACGCCGCGUGAUUGAAGAAGGCCUUCGGGUUGUAAAGAUCUUUAAUCGGGGACGAAUUUUGACGGUACCGGAAGAAUACGCUCCGGCUAACUACGUGCCAGCAGCCGCGGUAAUACGUAGGGAGCAAGCGUUAUCCGUAUUUACUGGGUGGAAAGGGCGUGUAGGCGGGCAUGCAAGCCAGAAGUGAAAUCUGGGGGCUUAACCCCCAAACUGCUUUUGGAACUGCGUGGCUGGAGUGAUGGAGAGGCAGGCGGAAUUCCCAGUGUAGCGGUGAAAUGCGUAGAUAUUGGGAGGAACACCAGUGGCGAAGGCGGCCUGCUGGACAUUAACUGACGCUGAGGCGCGAAAGCGUGGGGAGCAAACAGGAUUAGAUACCCGGGUAGUC